UACGGAGGAUCCGAGCGUUAUCCGGAUUUAUUGGGUUUAAAGGGUGCGUAGGCGGCCUGUUAAGUCAGGGGUGAAAGACGGUAGCUCAACUAUCGCAGUGCCCUUGAUACUGAUGGGCCAGAAUGUACUAGAGGCAGGCGGAAUGUGACAAGUAGCGGUGAAAUGCAUAGAUAUGUCACAGAACACCAAUUGCGAAGGCAGCUUGCUAUGGUAUAAUUGACGCUGAGGCACGAAAAGCGUGGGGGAUCAAACAGG
rnacentral:rRNA from 1 species